GUAGGUGUUGACGGUAGCAGAAGCCGGGUGGGGGGCAGUAGCCAGCCGAGUUUUAGCUUGGGGAUCUCGCAGGAAGUAGCGUGUGGCGCGGGAGCAGGCGAAAAAUCACCUGUAGCAGGUGUCCAGACUGACUUCGGACCCGGGCCUUCGGAUGAUCUGGACGUGUCGGCCACCAUAUCUAGCCCUGUCAGAAGCCCUCUAAGCUUCAAGUCAUGGGUGCGCGAAGGUGAGGCCCCUACGAAGGUUGAUGUUGCGUCGGGUAGCCAACCUAGUUUCAGUCUGGGGAUAUCGCAGAGUGUGCCUUGUGAGCGGCAGCCAAACGGGAAAAACUCGAGUAAUGAGGCCGGAUCGGGUUCCGUACGUAGUGGUGGUGCGGGCGGCACCGACGGUGCAAGAAGACGUUUAGGAGCUGAUAUCUGCGGCUGGGGCCCUAUUGCAACCCGGGGCCCGUUCGACAUGGCAGAG